rnacentral:rRNA from 1 species
UGGGGAAUAUUGGACAAUGGGCGAAAGCCUGAUCCAGCAAUGCCGCGUGAGUGAUGAAGGCCUUAGGGUUGUAAAGCUCUUUUACCCGGGAUGAUAAUGACAGUACCGGGAGAAUAAGCUCCGGCUAACUCCGUGCCAGCAGCCGCGGUAAUACGGAGGGAGCUAGCGUUAUUCGGAAUUACUGGGCGUAAAGCGCACGUAGGCGGCUUUGUAAGUUAGAGGUGAAAGCCUGGAGCUCAACUCCAGAAUUGCCUUUAAGACUGCAUCGCUUGAAUCCAGGAGAGGUGAGUGGAAUUCCGAGUGUAGAGGUGAAAUUCGUAGAUAUUCGGAAGAACACCAGUGGCGAAGGCGGCUCACUGGACUGGUAUUGACGCUGAGGUGCGAAAGCGUGGGGAGCGAAACAGGAUUAGAUACCCUGGUAGUCCACGCCGUAAACGAUGAUAACUAGCUGUCGGGGCUCUUAGAGCUUCGGUGGCGCAGCUAACG